GAUGAACGCUGGCGGCGUGCCUAAUACAUGCAAGUCGAGCGAACGGACGAGAAGCUUUCUUCUCUGAUGUUAGCGGCGGACGGGGGAGUAACACGUGGAUAACCUACCUAUAAGACUGGGAUAACUUCGUGAAACCGUAGCUAAUACCGGAUAAUAUUUUGAACCGCAUGGUUCAAAAGUUACAGACGGUCUUGCUGUCACUUAUAGAUGGAUCCGCGCUGCAUUAGCUAGUUGGUAAGGUAACGGCUUACCAAGGCGACGAUGCAUAGCCGACCUGAGAGGGUGAUCGGCCACACUGGAACUGAGACACGGUCCAGACUCCUACGGGAGGCAGCAGUAGGGAAUAUUCCGCAAUGGGCGAAAGCCUGACGGAGCAACGCCGCGUGAGUGAUGAAGGUCUUCGGAUCGUAAAGCUCUGUUAUUAGGGAAGAACAUAUGUGUAAGUAACUGUGCACAUAUUGACGGUACCUAAUCAGAAAGCAACGGCUAACUACGUG
rnacentral:rRNA from 1 species